CGCAAGCCUGAUGCAGCCAUGCCGCGUGUAUGAAGAAGGCCUUCGGGUUGUAAAGUACUUUCAGCAGUGAGGAAGGUGGUAUGUUAAUAGCAUAUUCAUUUGACGUUAGCUGCAGAAGAAGCACCGGCUAACUCCGUGCCAGCAGCCGCGGUAAUUACGGAGGGUGCGAGCGUUAAUCGGAAUUACUGGGCGUAAAGCGCAUGCAGGUGGUUUGUUAAGUCAGAUGUGAAAGCCCGGGGCUCAACCUCGGAAUUGCAUUUGAAACUGGCAAACUAGAGUACUGUAGAGGGGGUAGAAUUUCAGGUGUAGCGGUGAAAUGCGUAGAGAUCUGAAGGAAUACCGGUGGCGAAGGCGGCCCCCUGGACAGAUACUGACACUCAGAUGCGAAAGCGUGGGGAGCAAACAGGAUUAGAUACCCUGGUAG
rnacentral:rRNA from 1 species